GCGAAGCUUUUUAGUAGUUUACUACUAGAGAUGACUGAGCGGCGAACGGGUGAGUAACGCGUGAGCAAUCUACCUUAGUUACUGGGAUAGCCCGAGGAAACUCGGAUUAAUACCAGAUAUUCUUAUUUUUUCACAUGAAGUUUUAAGGAAAGGUCAGCCGAACUAAGAUGAGCUCGCGUUCUAUCAGCUAGUUGGUGGGGUAAAAGCCUACCAAAGCUACGACGGAUAGCUGGUCUGAGAGGACGAUCAGCCACACUGGGACUGAGACACGGCCCAGACUCCUACGGGAGGCUGCAGCAGGGAAUAUUGUGCAAUGAGCGAAAGCUUGACACAGCGACACCGCGUGUGGGAUGACGGUUCUAGGAUUGUAAACCACUUUCAGGAGGGAAGAAAAUGACGGUACCUCCACAAGAAGACCCGGCCAACUAUGUGCCAGCAGCCGCGGCAAUACAUAGGGGUCAAGCGUUGUCCGGAUUUAUUGGGCGUAAAGAGCUCGUAGGCGGUUCAACAAGUCGGUCGUAAAAGUUUAGGGCUCAACCCUAAAAUGUCGAUCGAUACUGUUGUGACUAGGAUACGGUAGAGGUGAAUGGAAUUCCGAGUGUAGCGGUGAAAUGCGUAGAUAUUCGGAGGAACACCAAUUGCGAAGGCAGUUCACUGAACCGUGAUCGACGCUGAGGAGCGAAAGCUAGGGGAGCAAACAGGAUUAGAUACCCUGGUAGUCCUAGCUGUAAACGAUGGAUACUAGAUGUAGGAACUGGAUUGACGGUUUCUGUAUCGUAGCUAACGCGUUUAGUAUCCCGCCUGGGGAGUA
rnacentral:rRNA from 1 species